GACGAACGCUGGCGGCGCGCCUAACACAUGCAAGUCGAACGAGAGAUGAGGAGCUUGCUCUUCAAAUCGAGUGGCGAACGGGUGAGUAACGCGUGAGGAACCUGCCUCAAAGAGGGGGACAACAGUUGGAAACGACUGCUAAUACCGCAUAAGCCCACGGCUCGGCAUCGAGCAGAGGGAAAAGGAGCAAUCCGCUUUGAGAUGGCCUCGCGUCCGAUUAGCUAGUUGGUGAGGUAACGGCCCACCAAGGCGACGAUCGGUAGCCGGACUGAGAGGUUGAACGGCCACAUUGGGACUGAGACACGGCCCAGACUCCUACGGGAGGCAGCAGUGGGGAAUAUUGCACAAUGGGGGAAACCCUGAUGCAGCGACGCCGCGUGGAGGAAGAAGGUCUUCGGAUUGUAAACUCCUGUUGUUGAGGAAGAUAAUGACGGUACUCAACAAGGAAGUGACGGCUAACUACGUGCCAGCAGCCGCGGUAAAACGUAGGUCACAAGCGUUGUCCGGAAUUACUGGGUGUAAAGGGAGCGCAGGCGGGAGAACAAGUUGGAAGUGAAAUCCAUGGGCCCAACCCAUGAACUGCUUUCAAAACUGUUUUUCUUGAGUAGUGCAGAGGUAGGCGGAAUUCCCGGUGUAGCGGUGGAAUGCGUAGAUAUCGGGAGGAACACCAGUGGCGAAGGCGGCCUACUGGGCACCAACUGACGCUGAGGCUCGAAAGUGUGGGUAGCAAACAGGAUUAGAUACCCUGGUAGUCCACACCGUAAACGAUGAUUACUAGGUGUUGGAGGAUUGACCCCUUCAGUGCCGCAGUUAACACAAUAAGUAAUCCACCUGGGGAGUACGACCGCAAGGUUGAAACUCAAAGGAAUUGACGGGGGCCCGCACAAGCAGUGGAGUAUGUGGUUUAAUUCGACGCAACGCGAAGAACCUUACCAAGUCUUGACAUCCCUUGACGAACAUAGAAAUAUGUUUUCUCUUCGGAGCAAGGAGACAGGUGGUGCAUGGUUGUCGUCAGCUCGUGUCGUGAGAUGUUGGGUUAAGUCCCGCAACGAGCGCAACCCUUAUGGUCAGUUACUACGCAAGAGGACUCUGGCCAGACUGCCGUUGACAAAACGGAGGAAGGUGGGGAUGACGUCAAAUCAUCAUGCCCUUUAUGACUUGGGCUACACACGUACUACAAUGGCGUUAAACAAAGAGAAGCAAGACCGCGAGGUGGAGCAAAACUCAGAAACAACGUCCCAGUUCGGACUGCAGGCUGCAACUCGCCUGCACGAAGUCGGAAUUGCUAGUAAUCGUGGAUCAGCAUGCCACGGUGAAUACGUUCCCGGGCCU
rnacentral:rRNA from 1 species